GAACCUUCGGGGAACGAUAACGGCGUCGAGCGGCGGACGGGUGAGUAAUGCCUAGGAAAUUGCCCUGAUGUGGGGGAUAACCAUUGGAAACGAUGGCUAAUACCGCAUGAUGCCUACGGGCCAAAGAGGGGGACCUUCGGGCCUCUCGCGUCAGGAUAUGCCUAGGUGGGAUUAGCUAGUUGGUGAGGUAAGGGCUCACCAAGGCGACGAUCCCUAGCUGGUCUGAGAGGAUGAUCAGCCACACUGGAACUGAGACACGGUCCAGACUCCUACGGGAGGCAGCAGUGGGGAAUAUUGCACAAUGGGCGCAAGCCUGAUGCAGCCAUGCCGCGUGUGUGAAGAAGGCCUUCGGGUUGUAAAGCACUUUCAGUCGUGAGGAAGGUGGUGKWGUUAAUAGCWSYAUCAUUUGACGUUAGCGACAGAAGAAGCACCGGCUAACUCCGUGCCAGCAGCCGCGGUAAUACGGAGGGUGCGAGCGUUAAUCGGAAUUACUGGGCGUAAAGCGCAUGCAGGUGGUUUGUUAAGUCAGAUGUGAAAGCCCGGGGCUCAACCUCGGAAUAGCAUUUGAAACUGGCAGACUAGAGUACUGUAGAGGGGGGUAGAAUUUCAGGUGUAGCGGUGAAAUGCGUAGAGAUCUGAAGGAAUACCGGUGGCGAAGGCGGCCCCCUGGACAGAUACUGACACUCAGAUGCGAAAGCGUGGGGAGCAAACAGGAUUAGAUACCCUGGUAGUCCACGCCGUAAACGAUGUCUACUUGGAGGUUGUGGCCUUGAGCCGUGGCUUUCGGAGCUAACGCGUUAAGUAGACCGCCUGGGGAGUACGGUCGCAAGAUUAAAACUCAAAUGAAUUGACGGGGGCCCGCACAAGCGGUGGAGCAUGUGGUUUAAUUCGAUGCAACGCGAAGAACCUUACCUACUCUUGACAUCCAGAGAACUUUCCAGAGAUGGAUUGGUGCCUUCGGGAACUCUGAGACAGUGCUGCAUGGCUGUCGUCAGCUCGUG
rnacentral:rRNA from 1 species